GAUGAAGAACGCAGCGAAAUGCGAUAAGUAGUGUGAAUUGCAGAAUUCAGUGAAUCAUCGAAUCUUUGAACGCACAUUGCGCCCUUUGGUAUUCCUUAGGGCAUGCCUGUUCGAGCGUCAUUUAAACCUUCAAGCUAAGCUUGGUGUUGGGUGACUGUCCGCUUCACUGCGGACUCGCCUCAAAAUUAUUGGCGGCCGGUACAUUGGCUUCGAGCGCAGCAGAAACGCGAACUCGGGCCCGUCGUAUUGGCUCCCAGAAGCUAUCUUCACAAUUUUGACCUCGGAUCAGGUAGGGAUACCCGCUGAACUUAAGCAUAUCAAUAGCGGAGGA
rnacentral:misc_RNA from 1 species